UACGGAGGGUGCAAGCGUUAUCCGGAUUCACUGGGUUUAAAGGGUGCGUAGGUGGGUAGGUAAGUCAGUGGUGAAAUCCCCGAGCUCAACUUGGGAACUGCCAUUGAUACUAUCUUUCUUGAAUACCUUGGAGGUGAGCGGAAUAUGUCAUGUAGCGGUGAAAUGCUUAGAUAUGACAUAGAACACCAAUUGCGAAGGCAGCUCACUACACGGUCAUUGACACUGAGGCACGAAAGCGUGGGGAGCAAACAGG
rnacentral:rRNA from 1 species